AUGUGAAAAUGUAUUUUCGUUAAAAUAAAGUGAGAAAUCAACAUAAAGUAAAAAAAUGAAAUAAAAAUCCUAAAAAAAUCAUUUAGAAAAAAUAAAUGUCAAUUGUUGAUAUUCAGUGUAAUUUAUUCGAUUUUUUUAACUCACAUGAUAUUUCUAUAAAAAAUAGAGCAUUUUGAAAAAAUCACGCGAAAUGUAUAAACAUUUCAAAUUAAAUAUGUAGAAAAGAAUAAAAAAAAGCAUCAAAAUACAUUUGGCAAAUAAUGUGAGAAAUAUACAUAUGUAUGGAUGUAUUUGUAUUUAUUUUGUUUUUAAAAUCAUAAAAAAAAGUUUAUCAAUAAAAUGAAAGAGAAACAAAAAAAAUAAUUCAUGUCAAAAUUAAUUGAUUGUUGUGAAAUGUUUAUUUGUGAAAAUUUACGUAUUUUACCCGAAAAAAGUGCAAAUUACACUUGCUAACAGGAAUAUCAAGAUAAAUCGAAAAAUAAUAAAUAAAUAUGUAUGUACACAUACAUACAUAGAAAAAUAAAUAAAUUUCAACAAAAUUUUGUUUAUAAAAAUAAAUCUUUCAACAUUAUAAAAUCAUAAACAAAUUGAUGGUUUAUAAUGUUUUACUUAUUGAUAGAUUCAUAUGCAUGUUGCCAACUUUAAAAGAAUUCCCAUAAGUGCUUAAAUUUUUAAAUUGUUUCAUUAAGAACUAUACUAAAUGAAAAACUCUUAUAUAAAUGAAUCUCUUAUAUACACAUAAAUACACACAUAAGUAAAAACGUAAGAAAAUAUUUAAAAUAUUGUCGGCAUUCACCAUUCGUUGAACAUACCAA